ensembl:lncRNA
CGUUCCGCCUGAUGUCAUUUCGUUUUACCAACGAAAGAAGCCAAAAUCCAUCGUCCAUUGGAAACCGGUUGGAGCGAUCGAAACAUUGGUUGGUUGGCAAAACUUAUCACCGCAGGAAACCAAAGGGCAGGUGCCUCAUUCAUGGCUGAACGAUCUUCCAACGGCAGAGACUCGUCCUUAUCGUGCGUAAUCCUGGAAUCGAACCCCAUCAAGGACCAACACCGGCGCCACCUCUUCUCGAUCAAAUUGGACUCGUACAAGUAGGGCAUAACUUGGUCAUUGCAAGUAAUGGAGCAAAAACAACGCUGCCGAUUCUGGGAUCAUUUCUCCAACAUCAUCCCGGUGUAAUGUCCAACAGUCGGGUCGUGUCGGCUUUUCCUCACAACCAGCGCGUCCCGACAACCAAACAAGGAAUCGCCUUGAAGCUGCUCGAUACGUUAAAGUCGCUCCCAUUAACGCACUCGGCGUUAGCAGUGACGAGUAUAUAAAGUAUGGAGAUAUUUUACGCACUGACAGCCCCGGUGCCACGACAAGCAUCGCUCGCAGCCCGCUGACUUUUUACGCACCCCAGCCCAGCAAACGAACAUCUCCUUUGCAGACAACUCACGACAUCACAAGCACACACACGACCCGGAAUUUGCCGCGCGACGGCACGAAAGGGGUCAAUUAGUACCUUUAGACUCCAUUGACGCAUGCAAAACCCAGUGUGUUUGGUUUUACAGCGUGGACGAGAUUGACGAUGAGAGCAGAGGGAGGCUGUUAAUUCUUGACGACAGCGGGUUCGAAGAAUUUGUAGACGACACAGGUGACGGAGAAUUUCCCUCGUCGUUUCAAGUCAGUCGACGCGAAACUGGCUUUAUCGGCCAAACAUCACCGGCGGGCGUCCAGCAGAGCAAAGCAAAGGCAGGCGGACCGACUGUUCACGGAGAGGACAACGGAGAGAUUACCGAGUCAUUAUUUAGCCAGGCAUGCGGAAGAGACUUUGCUCGGGGGACGGGAGAAAAUACGUGCAGUGUAGGCGUGCCAUUGAUGUUGGGUCUGGGGCUGUGAGGCCUGCUUUGUUGCUGCGCGUCUGGCUCCAGCAGCUCAUAAAAGUGCAAGGCCAAGCCAUCACCAGUUCGUCAUCGUUGGUUACAAGAAGCCACCUGGCCUGACUGAGGGAAACAACGGUUGGCUGGCUGUCUGCUAAAGCCGAUAGCAGGAAACGCAGCCCUUACACUAAGCACCAAACUCUGGAGCUGGAGAAGGAGUUCCCUUACAACAUGUAUUUAUCGAAACAGCGCCGCCUAGAGAUCAGCCAAAACCUUGACCUAACAGACAGGCAGUUCAAAAUCUGGUUCCAGAAUCGCAGAAUGAAGAUGAAGAAGCAACACCGAAGUUCCAGGGAUACUGUGAAAAACAAAAACAGUGAAAACUGAUUAAACCAAGGACAUAGAAGACUGACCCUCUGAUUCAUUGACUGAAUGACAAAAUCAUUAAAGUUUUCAAAGCAUACAUAGACACACGCACGCACGCACGCACACACACACACACACACACACACACACACACACACACACACACACACACACACACACACACACACACACACACACACACACACACACACACACUCAUACAAAGAUAUAUAAUCAAACACUUAAUAACACACGUUUAAUUCUGUUCCGUGUCACUUGUCCGUUUCAUCAUUGUUAUAUGGAAAUUCCAUUUAUAAUGUAGGCCUACUUUAUAUCCUGUGGGAGCUAGAAUUCAAUUUUUAAUUAAUAAGUUUAUUAGCUUGUCUUUUUGAUGCCCACUUUGAAUUAGCGCACAAUUGGUCACCUUUUUGCUUAUAGUAUUUAGUAAGGCUCCACAUCUAGUACAUUCAGCACUUUUAAAAUAGUCUUGAACAUUGCGUUUCUACGUCUCCAGUGAAGUCAGAGGGGAGCUUUUUGGAUUCCACUGCGUAAAGACAUUAGAACAAAUAUAGUAAUCCCUUGCUGACCCAGCACUUGUGUUACGUAUUGGUACUUGUUACAUCAGAAUAGCAUUGUUUUGCAUGUGUUUAAUUUACACCCAAUAUGUGGCACACAUUUGAUAUAUGCAUGUAUUGCCUGAUAGAAUGCCGGAUAGAUUGAUAACACACAUUCAAUUCGGCUUUCCAAUUUAAUGAUUAAAAUCUUCCAAUGCUUUUUUCCUCGAAGGAAUGUAUUAAUAAAGGAACGCCUAUUCAAAGUUCAGAAA